CAGAGUGUGGGCUUGCCAACAUUCAUUGAGUGCCAAGCAUCUCCUAAGUGACGUGCAAGAAUGAUCUCAUCUAACCCGUGAGGUGGGUGCUAUUAACACACCCACUUCACAGAUGGAAGAACCUGAGAUGCGCAGGCAUGCGUGACUCCCAGGAAGGAAGAGCCAGCACCCUUCCACCCGGAAGCCUGCAAAGCACCAGCGGGACCGGACGGCUUCACGCAGCCUAUGGCCAGGUGGUGGGCCUUGGGCUGAUUUCUUUUUUAACUGUGGCAAAAUGCAUAUUUACUAUUUGAACCAUU